AGAAAGGAUUGCCAGAUUUAACUAAGUUAAAUCUGCGUACUGACAGAUGGCAAUGAUGUCCACCGUAAGAAGUGUCUGAAUUAUUUAGAGAUAGAAUACAGAAAUAGAGGCUGCCUAAAUGCAUUGAAGAUUCUCAUUGGUACAUGCAGCUCUCGUGGAUCCACAUCUACCAGAUGAACCUGAUUUGAGUAGGACUUAGCAAACAGGAGAGGAACAAACCAACUAUCAGUGAGGAUUUAGUGUCCAUCAGGAUGAAACAGCCAGGGAAGAGCAGGCCCACAAAAAGCUUGACAGCAGAGCAAGGAAAAAAUGCACAUUCAAGUAUAUUUGUCUUGUAUCCUGUUAAAUAGCGCAUGGUGCAGGUGAUCAUACUGAACCAGCCUUUCUGCCUGAAGAGGUCAUGA